rnacentral:lncRNA from 1 species
UUAUGAAUAUACAAGAGUGUAGGAUACAUAUGCAUUACAAUAAAUAAAUACCAAUGUUAUUGGUUGAACAACAUAUCAUUCAUAUCAAAUUUACAAUAGAGAACACGUCUAUGGAGAAUAUUACACCAUAGCAUUUGUAUCAAUUCGACCAAAGAAAAAGAUGUUCUGACUGCUAUUACAUUUUUCAAUCUAUCAAUGUAAAGUACGGUUAUUGCUAAGUAAAAUCUUCUAAUUAUAUUUGCUUCUUUAUCCAACAGAAUAAUUCAGCUCCAACUCAAUUAUGCUUCUUUCGAAUCUGCAAAAGAUAAAUGGACCUUAUAGAUUAAAUGUACACAAAUAUAAUUUUGGAAUAUGGAAGAAAAGACUCCAACUUACAAAAGCUAAAGGUCGGGCAAUUAAGUAUCCUAAGCAAAAGCAUGACCAAUUCUCUUGCAAUCAGAAACUUACCUUACUAACUCCUCAUUAUCCAGAAUAGGUUCAUCUAUGCACACAAGUGCAAAAUUGGCACCUAACUAAAUAUCACCAACCUUAGUUUCUAGAUGAAUACUCCAAAUAGUAGCAUAUGCAGCAUUCCGCUGGUUUGGAUAUGUUAAAGUCUUUAAAACUACUUUGGAUGCAACCUAUAUUAUGAUCAAUAUUAUUAUUCAACGACAAUGAUAACAGAAUUUGCAUGAACAAUAUUUCAAUGGAUACACAUGGCCAUAGUUCGGGAAGACUAUUAUGACCAUUCACUUCCUUAGGGAUAGACAUUCAGGCUGCAAGUGGGACUAAUGGAGGAAUACCCACACCAGCACGCAUGUGUUAUGCGGGUGUUUGUGGGCAGCCCACAAUCAACCAUGCUGCAUCUAUUUUCCCAAAUAAUCUCAUUUAAUCCCAUAGUAGUAAACUGCCACGCUAUUGUAUUAAGCUAUUGUAGUAAACUGAUAUGUGGUAAGCAACCACAAAAAAAGAGUUGACACAAUUCUACUUAGCUCGUGUACAAAUCAAGACUAACUUGUUGUAUCUGGACAUUAGUUGAACAAAGCAGCACAAACAACUGUCAAUCAAGUCACUACAUGAGCAAGCAUAUGAAAAGUGACGCCCAGUGCAAAAAAAUUAGAGUGGCUGAGCAAAAGCAUCAUCAUACUGUUGAGAAAUCAGGAGCAGAGCAUCUGUGUUGUGCUGUAUGUGUGUGCUUGUUGUUGUGUUGGGCAUGUGUCUGUGUAUGUGCUUUCUAGUACCUAACCAAAGUACCCGUAAGAUGUUUUCUAACAGUAGACAUUCCAUGGCAAAGUUAUGAAGAAUAUAAACAUUCUAUACUAAUUGUCAACAAGCACGUCCAUAUGACUGCAUAAACAUAUACCUGGAAACCAGAAGCCAUGAUUACAGUGGCUUUAAGCAGCAUGGAAUUGAUAUGCAUAAGCCCUUGAGGCAUCGACACUAACCGAGCUCCCCGCAAACAUUCUGUAAGAGUAGAAUGAUAAAUAACUUGAGGCAGAAAUAGAUGUACAUCCAAAAGCUACAGACUAUAAGCACGCAGUAAAAUCACAUAUUCAACAAAUUUGGAAUUAAAUGUAGAACCUAUUUUGCACAUAAUGUAACCAGGAUGGAUACUUGGUAAAAGGUGAUGGUAUCUUACAUUUACCUAAAUAAAAAAGUAACCAGGACGGGUACUUGGUACAAGGUGAUGCUAUCACCCAUUUGAUUAUAUCAAACUAGCAGAUGAGACUGAGAUACGAGAAUAUAAGAAUUAAAGUGGAAUGAAUAUACAAGCAUCUGCUAUAUUUUCAUAGUGAUUAUUGGGAUGUACUACACUAUGAUGAUCAUAUAUUUAGUAGAACCCUUGCCAUGAAAAGCACUAUGUAUUACACCUACAUUACCCGUGAGUAAAGUAGAUGUCCGUGUUGCUCUUCAUAAUCUCUACUACCCAAUCUGAUGGACGUAGUUUGCCGAGAGCAACACUAGGCAAAGGCGCCAGCCUUUGCCGAAGUUGACACUCAG